rnacentral:lncRNA from 1 species
GUUCUGUUCUCUGGUCUCCCAAGGCCCUUGAUUUAUGGGGUCCCCACAGACGGAAGCUUUCCCCCCAUCAGCAGGUCUCCACUGAAUCAGCGGCAGGAGUCCUGGAUGAUCCCCGGUCGCGCGGCCCCCUCCCCCGCUCCUUCCCUACCAGCGCCGCAGCGAUAGCAGAAUCUAGGGGAGGGAGCGACAUUCUCUCCUACCGUUCCAGCGCCUCUGAGACUAAUGAAGUUGAUCAUAUUCCCCAUUCUGCUCCAAGGAGGUUGGCAUUGGGACUAAAACUGAAGUAGUAAAGUUGGAUCUGAAUAAUGUUUGGAGGUGAACUGACUAUAAAGCUCAAGAGAGGAAGAUAAUGUGAAGAUUUAUGAAUAAGAAAUUUAUAAGAAUAACGUUAUACUGAAGGAUGAGGCAAAGUUCUGAAAUAGAAUCAAAUCAUUUGGAGUUCUCGCCCUUGCCAGACCCGUAGGAUUCUCACCCCUGACUUAAAAUCAGUCUUUUGC